AGAGUUUGAUCCUGGCUCAGAACGAACGCUGGCGGCAGGCCUAACACAUGCAAGUCGAACGCACCGCAAGGUGAGUGGCGCACGGGUGAGUAACACGUGGGAAUGUACCCUUUGGUUCGGAAUAACGUUUGGAAACGAACGCUAAUACCGGAUGAGCCCUACGGGGGAAAGAUUUAUCGCCAAAGGAGCAGCCCGCGUCUGAUUAGCUAGUUGGUGGGGUAAGGCCUACCAAGGCGACGAUCAGUAGCUAGUCUGAGAGGAUGAUCAGCCACACUGGGACUGAGACACGGCCCAGACUCCUACGGGAGGCAGCAGUGGGGAAUAUUGGACAAUGGGCGGAAGCCUGAUCCAGCCAUGCCGCGUGAGUGAUGAAGGCCUUCGGGUUGUAAAGCUCUUUCGCACGCGACGAUGAUGACGGUAGCGUGAGAAGAAGCCCCGGCUAACUUCGUGCCAGCAGCCGCGGUAAUACGAAGGGGGCUAGCGUUGUUCGGAAUUACUGGGCGUAAAGGGCGCGUAGGCGGCUAUUCAAGUCAGGCGUGAAAGCCCCGGGCUUAACCUGGGAACUGCGCUUGAGACUGGAUGGCUAGAGUACCGGAGAGGUAGGUGGAAUUCCCAGUGUAGAGGUGAAAUUCGUAGAUAUUGGGAAGAACACCAGUGGCGAAGGCGGCCUACUGGACGGUAACUGACGCUGAGGCGCGAAAGCGUGGGGAGCAAACAGGAUUAGAUACCCCGGUA
rnacentral:rRNA from 1 species